rnacentral:lncRNA from 1 species
AUGUGGAGCUAGAGUUUGAGCACCUUAACUUUGAAGACUGCAUGGACCAAUAUUCUCUGGCUAGUAGACCCACACAAACAGAGAAGACUGAUAAGACCCAGGAACUAACAGGAGCUCCAAGGAACACCUCGCCGAUGAGCUCAGUGGAGAAUCACAACGAGCACAAGAACACAACAGGAAAGGAGACGUAUGCGCAAGACACAGACAGUGAAACUGACGAGUAGCUCAGUCCUCUAGAGAAUACAGAAAUGUCAUACAAGAAGCACAUUCAUGAAGAUGAAACAGGGAACUGGACUGAAAGACAAUUGGGCUUUGGAGGAGAUCAAACAGGAGAAGACCAGUCAAACACGGAGAGACCGAACAGCCAUGGCAACGUCCAAAAUAAAGAAGGUGAAGGUGGUGUGCCAUUUUUACAGCAGCCCAGCCCUCAAAAUCUAGACGACACAAGCGGUUACUCAGAUUCAGAUUCAGAGUCAGAUUCAGGAAAUGAAGACGUAGAAGCUACAAGACAACAACUUGUGCCAAUGGACAGAGAAGCAGUGAAAGAACUGUCAUUAUGUGCGUCUAAGAACACAGAGGGCUUCAAUAGGUACCAUGAGGAUUUAAGCCCAUUGAUCCCGACUGCAAAGGGUUUGCAAGCUCAUGAGGAGACACACAUCCAAGGGGACUUGAGGGAGUUUUCUGAGGAGGACCAAGACUGGGUUGGUGAAGGUAUUGCUGAAUAUCCAACAGAACUGGCAGACAGUGAUGGUGAUAAUGACGGUGAUGAUGAUUAUGAUGAUGAUGAUGAUGAUGAUGUUGAUGAUGAAGAUGAAGGGAAAGUGGAAGGCGACUCCAGAGCACCUGUAUGCAGAAUAGGGUAUAUGGGGGCUGACAACACACAAGAGGAAGAUGAUGAGGAAGAAGAAGAUGAUCAUGGUAAUGAUGAUAUAGUGAAAGAUAGACCCAUGCAUGCCAAACCUCAUGACUGUACAAAGACUUACAGCAGUGAGAGCACCAAGGAUGAGACAGUAGAGGAAAGGCAGGCUAUAGCAACCUCGCAUAGCCUGAGCAGGGAGAAUUCCGGUCCCCAAAGAGAGGAAGAGAGACAUGAAGAGGAGCAGGGUGUUGGCAAACAUGAUGUUGGAGUCGAUGCACUUCCUUAUGGCAGUGAAAAUGAAUUCCUCGUGGCUUCACAUUAUGUUGACACUCUGGGGUGUUGGAGCGAAGAGUUUGAUAGACGCAUGCUUAACACAGAGCGGAAUCUAGAUAUCAACAUCCGUGAACUAGACGCUCUUGACUCUGACAUUGAUCUCCCAAACGUCAGAGGCCAUGGUCAUGUAGCCAAGGCAGACAGAAGCAGUCUUUCAGGAGGGACAGAUACCAACGAAUCAGAGAGAACAUGGCCAACUGAAAUACUGUUGGACGAGGCCAGCCAACAGCACAACCAACCCCUCAGGAAUCCAUCAGGAACUUCAACACAGGAAUUCCUUGUGGUUGAACAAGACGUGACGCCAGACAGUGACUUUCACUUUGACACCAGCUUGGAACGGGACAGUCAUGCCACAGACGGAUGUGUUGGUGGUUGUCUGCUGAGUGAAGAUACAGCACAGGGAGGCAUGGAGGACAAUACAAGUGACACAUUUGGAGAGGAAGAGAGGAGCUGGGAUCAAGAGAGAGAAAGAAUUGAGGCUUUCAACCGGUUUUACAAUGAUUCAGAUGAGAACAGUAUUGAAGGAAAAGGAGAAAGGACACAUAAAGUGCACUUCUGUUUGGAACCCCAAAUCACUGAAAUCCUGGACUCAGAUUCAGAGUUUAGUAGCGACAUAGAAGCAGAGGAAGACUCAGAGGAGGACUCGGAGGUCAUUUAUGAUGAGGAGGAACCCCCAGAAAACACGUUCCCACCUCAAGAACAGGAGGAACCGCCAGAGAACAUGUUCCCUCCUUGUGCUCAGGACCAGACGUUACAAGAGGAACAGCCCAUGCAGGAUGAUCCAACAACUGAUCAACCAAUUGAAACAGUGAUAACUGAUCAGCCCAUGGAAACAGUGAUAACUGAUCAGCCCAUGGAAACAGUGAUAACUGAUCAACCCAUGGAAAAACAGAUGACUGAUGAAUCAGAGGAAGAAGGGAACAUAGCUCUGCAGACGGUAGACAAACGACAGAUAAUUAUUCAGUGUCAAACCUCAUCUAAGAGGAAAAAGUGUCCUGGAAUAUUGAAGUCUGCUCUCAGGAUGUGUGUGGUCAUUGCAAUUGGGCUGCUGACUUUCUGGUGGGCAACAGACCAUUUGGACUGGACAAGAUGGUAG